GACAGAGGGGGCGAGCGUUUUCCGGAGUCACUGGGCGUAAAGCGCGCGCAGGCGGUCGCCAAAGGGUCGUGUGAAAACCCCCGGCUCAACCGGGGGAGGCCAUGGCAAACUCGGCGACUGGAGCGGCGGAGAGGCCCCUCGAAUUGCCGGUGUAGCGGGGAAAUGCGUAGAGAUCGGCAGUAAGACCAAGGGGGAAGCCAGGGGGCUGGCCGCUGGCUGACGCUGAGGCGCGACAGCGUGGGGUGCGAACCGG
rnacentral:rRNA from 1 species